rnacentral:rRNA from 1 species
GACGAACGCUGGCGGCGUGCUUAACACAUGCAAGUCGAACGGGAUUUAGUAAACGGAAGCCUCGGUGGAAGAUUACUAAUGAGAGUGGCGAACGGGUGAGUAACGCGUGAGCAACCUGCCUAUGACAGUGGGAUAGCCUCGGGAAACCGGGAUUAAUGCCGCAUAAAAUCGUAGAAACACAUGUUUCAACGGUCAAAGAUUUAUCGGUCAUAGAUGGGCUCGCGUCUGAUUAGCUAGUUGGUGAGAUAACAGCCCACCAAGGCGACGAUCAGUAGCCGGUCUGAGAGGAUGAACGGCCACAUUGGAACUGAGACACGGUCCAAACUCCUACGGGAGGCAGCAGUGGGGAAUAUUGCACAAUGGGGGAAACCCUGAUGCAGCGACGCCGCGUGAACGAAGAAGGUAUUCGUAUCGUAAAGUUCUGUCCUAUGGGAAGAUAAUGACAGUACCAUAGAAGAAAGCUCCGGCUAAAUACGUG